UACGUAGGGUGCAAGCGUUAAUCGGAAUUACUGGGCGUAAAGCGUGCGCAGGCGGUUGUGCAAGACAGAUGUGAAAUCCCCGGGCUUAACCUGGGAAUUGCAUUUGUGACUGCACGGCUAGAGUGUGUCAGAGGGGGGUAGAAUUCCACGUGUAGCAGUGAAAUGCGUAGAUAUGUGGAGGGAUACCGAUGGCGAAGGCAGCCCCCUGGGAUAACACUGACGCUCAUGCACGAAAGCGUGGGGAGCAAACAGG
rnacentral:rRNA from 1 species